AGUGCUAUGUCUGACUUAAGUAAUAAAUUGUAAAUUUAUUUAAGGAAAAUAUUUUUCCUGGCACUA
rnacentral:tRNA from 1 species